rnacentral:rRNA from 1 species
AUGAAGCCGGAAUUGCUAGUAAUGGCAGGUCAGCAUACUGCCGUGAAUACGUUCCCGGGCCUUGUACACACCGCCCGUCACACCAUGAGAGUCGGGAAUACCCGAAGCCUGUGAGCUAACUUUUAGAGGCAGCAGUCGAAGGUAGAAUCAAUGAUUGGGGUGAAGUCGUAACAAGGUAGC